rnacentral:lncRNA from 11 species
GGGGAAACCUGCAACAUUUUCCAUUAGAGCAGCAUGCAGAGCAUCUGAGUCUUUUCUUUAAAACACAGCCAGGCCAUUGUAUAAUUCUUGUCUCUGUCAGGUUUUAUCAGCUGCUUUGCAAAGUCCGAUGACAGAACUGUCAGGUUUCUUACUUGAAAAACUGUGUGAUGCCUGCAAAAAAAGGGGAAAGGGUGACCCUGAAGAAAAUAGCAGUGUCAUGGAUCGACGGAUCUAACAACGUAGUCUGGGCUCAGUGCCAAAGGCUGGUAUUUCACAGCAGCGACCGCCUUACAGAUGAGCUGUGGGAAGCAGGAGGGAGACUCUCUUAGGGUGCCACUACUAUGGAGACACAGCUGAGCUGAACAAGAUUUGCUUCAUACGACAACAAGAGAGGCAUAAAAAGUGUCUGGUUCAAGCGUUGCCCAAGCAGGCAGUCACCAGAAGAGCUAGCAGCCAAUCCGGCCAUGCUGCACUGUUCGAAACCAGCUCCACAUCUCAGCCAAUCAGUGACAUCAUUGGUCUUCAGGGAUUUUCAUCAGGUAGCUGGCAGCACAAACUUUCUGUUUAACCAUCAAUUGUACAGAAUGAAAAGUAUCUUGGAGGACCAUUUGUUGUAUACAAGGUUGUGGUAGUGUCAAAGAAGAAUUUUGCAUGGUGAUCAAGGUUACUACAAGGUAUCCCGGAUAGUAUUCCUUGUUUCAGUGUUUGUAGUGGGAACACCUUCUUCAGGUAAUUGAUUCUUCU